rnacentral:rRNA from 1 species
AUUGAACGCUGGCGGCAGGCCUAACACAUGCAAGUAGAACGAGUGGCGGACGGGUGAGUAAUGUCUGGGAAACUGCCUGAUGGAGGGGGAUCACUACUGGAAACGGUAGCUAAUACCGCAUACCAUCGGAUGUGCCCAGAUGGGAUUAGCUAGAAGGUGGGGUAACGGCUCACCUCGGCGACGAUCCCUAGCUGGUCGGAGAGGAUGACCAGCAACGCGGGAACUUAGACCCGGUCCAGAUUCCUACGGUAGGGAGCAGGGGUGAAUAUGGCACAAUGGGCGCGAGCCUGAUGCAGCCAUGCCGCGUGUAUGAAGAAGGCCUUCGGGUUGUAGAGUACAUUCAGCGGGGAGGCGUUACCCGCAGAAGAAGCACCGGCUAACGCCGUGCCAGCCGCCGCGGUAAUAC